rnacentral:rRNA from 1 species
UCCGUCCUACGGGACGCAGCAGUGGGGAAUAUUGGGCAAUGGGCGCAAGCCUGACCCAGCGACGCCGCGUGAGGGAAGACGGUCUUCGGAUUGUAAACCUCUUUCAGCAGGGAAGACAAAAGGACGGUACCUGCAGAAGAAGCCACGGCUAACUACGUGCCAGCAGCCGCGGUAAUACGUAGGUGGCAAGCGUUAAUCGGAAUUACUGGGCGUAAAGCGCUCGUAGGCGGUAUGUCAAGUCAAGGGUGAAAUCCCCGCGCUCAACGUGGGAACUGCCUUUGAAACUGGCAAACUGGAGUGUGUGG